AUGGGCCAGGAGCAGAGUUUAACAGAUAGGUCUCUUCUGUGCUUGGGAAUUGCCGCUAUCACUGACCUACAAGAUCAACUUUUUGUACCUUUUCUUGCAUAUCCUGAAUCUUGUUCUGUUUGCCACUGCAGCAUCAUUUCACCAGGAAGAGCGGAAAGUCAUUACCUACAUGCUGAACAGCCUGAUGUCUGCAAAAGGCUUCUGGGAGCUGGGGAAUACAGUCUUUGGACCCAGAAUGUAAGAAGGAAAUGGCAAAGAUCUUUCUCCUGGAGCAAAUGUUCUCUAUACGCAAAGGUAGACCACAGAUAAGUACAGUCACACCAUACAUUUGGAAGCACCUGCAAUUGAUUUAUCAGAUGUUGUUAUCCAAGGCAAUGGAGAAUACCCAAGGCCACGGAAAAUGUUCUGCUGGAGAAACAUACUAAUUUGCUCCUCAGUACAGAUCCUGUAGACUGCUGAGAGGAUCUGCAUGGGCCAAACUUCAGGAUAACAAAGUACCAUUUUAUUGAAAUAUGCUGCCUCAGUACGCAGCAGUUGCAGCCAGUCUCAUGCCCUAUUGUAUUAGACAGCAUAAGGAAAUGUGAGUCCUGUGCUCCAAGUGACUCACAUUAUUAAGAAGUACUGCAUGCCAGGGUUAAGGAACUGGAGAGCAUACAUUUGCCACAAUGAAAUGCUUAGCAAGAUAAAUCAAAAAGCAGAUAAUUUAGGAAGGAAAAAUUAAGUGCAUGACUGCUUUUUCCCUCUUUAAAUUCUGGCUAUUAGCCCAGGCAUUAACCUAUCUAACCCACAAGUGAAUGAGUUGUUUAGGAAACACAGUGAUUCCAAGCCAAAAUCCGGGCAAAAUUUUUCUAUUUUCCCUGGAAGACAACAUGUGUUUAAGAUUGAUUUCUAGACCACUCAUCUGCUCUCUCAUACUCUCUUCUAAAAUUGUGGCACAGGAAUAACUGUGCCAAGGGAACCAGUAUUUGUGAGAAUGCUGGAGACUCAUACCUACUUCAGAUUAGCCAUGUUCUUUCCCUGUUCCACCGCUACCUACAUUUUCACUGAAUAAACUGCAAUAUCCCACUUUGCA
rnacentral:lncRNA from 1 species